GAUGAACGCUGGCGGCGUGCCUAAUACAUGCAAGUCGAGCGAACAGACGAGGAGCUUGCUCCUCUGACGUUAGCGGCGGACGGGUGAGUAACACGUGGAUAACCUACCUAUAAGACUGGGAUAACUUCGGGAAACCGGAGCUAAUACCGGAUAAUAUAUUGAACCGCAUGGUUCAAUAGUGAAAGACGGUUUUGCUGUCACUCAUAGAUGGAUCCGCGCCGCAUUAGCUAGUUGGUAAGGUAACGGCUUACCAAGGCAACGAUGCGUGGCCGACCUGAGAGGGUGAUCGGCCACACUGGAACUGAGACACGGUCCAGACUCCUACGGGAGGCAGCAGUAGGGAAUCUUCCGCAAUGGGCGAAAGCCUGACGGAGCAACGCCGCGUGAGUGAUGAAGGUCUUCGGAUCGUAAAACUCUGUUAUUAGGGAAGAACAAAUGUGUAAGUAACUAUGCACGUCUUGACGGUACCUAAUCAGAAAGCCACGGCUAACUACGUG
rnacentral:rRNA from 1 species